rnacentral:rRNA from 1 species
AUUGAACGCUGGCGGCAGGCCUAACACAUGCAAGUCGAGCGGAUGAAGGGAGCUUGCUCCUGGAUUCAGCGGCGGACGGGUGAGUAAUGCCUAGGAAUCUGCCUGGUAGUGGGGGAUAACGUCCGGAAACGGGCGCUAAUACCGCAUACGUCCUGAGGGAGAAAGUGGGGGAUCUUCGGACCUCACGCUAUCAGAUGAGCCUAGGUCGGAUUAGCUAGUUGGUGGGGUAAAGGCCUACCAAGGCGACGAUCCGUAACUGGUCUGAGAGGAUGAUCAGUCACACUGGCAGAGAGACACGGUCCAGACUCCUACGGGGGGCAGCAGUGGGGAAUAUUGGACUAGGGGCGAAAGUCUGACCCAGCCAUGCCGCGUGUGAAGAAGGUCUUCGGAUUGUAAAGCACUUUAAGUUGGGAGGAAGGGCAGUAAGUUAAUACCUUGCUGUUUUGACGUUACCAACAGAAUAAGCACCGGCUAACUUCGUG